CCCGCCUGCCCCGUGAUUUAAUUUAACGGCCGCGGUAUCUUGACCGUGCAAAGGUAGCACAAUCAAUUGUUCUUUAAAUAAGGACUAGUAUGAACGGCACCACGAGGGUUUAACUGUCUCCCCACUUUAAUCAAUGAAAUUGAUCCUCCCGUGAAGAAGCGGGAAAUAUCUAUAUAAGACGAAAAGACCCCAUGGAGCUUUAAACUUAUCACCAUUUACCAAAACCUAGACACAUAUUUGGCAUAUAUGACAUUGAUAGUUUUCGGUUGGGGCGACCCCGGAGAAAAAUUAAUCCUCCGGACUGAAUAGAAAAAAAUCUAAUGUUAGAGUGAUAACUCAAACAAUCAAAACCUUGACAAAAUGACCCAGAAUCUAUCUGAUCAACGAACCAAGUUACCCUGGGGAUAACAGCGCAAUCCAUUUCAAGAGCCCUUAUCGACAAAUGGGUUUACGACCUCGAUGUUGGAUCGGGAUAUCCUAGCAGCGCAGCCGUUGCUUAGGGUUCGUUUGUUCAACGAUUAAUAACCCCACGUGAUCUGAGUUCAGACCGGA
rnacentral:rRNA from 1 species